UCUUGGAGCUAAUUGUAGAAAAUAUAUCACUAGAAAACUGAGGCAAAGUGCUUGCCUAGCAUGCACAAUGCCCUGGGUUACACACACACACACACACACAACUUCUACUAUGGGCUAUGGUUUUUAAUUUUUGCUAUUUUUUUAAAAAAUAUUUUUUAAUUGUCAAUGAACCUUUAUUUUACUUGUUUAUAUUUGGUGCUGAGAGUCAAACCCAGUGCUUCACACAUGCUAGGCAAGUGCUCUACACCGAGCCACAACCCCAACCCCAUUGCUAUCUUCUUUUGAUAUGCAGCCAUUAACUAUUCUUUUUAUCUUGCCUCCUAAGAAUUGAAUCAAAAUAAGCUUUAUAUUAUAUCCCCAAUUUAUUGUUCAAACUGUAACAUUCUGAACAAUUUGUGGCAAUUUUUUUCACAUUUGUUGUCACAUUAUUUCUGACAUUUUUACCUUUAGAAAGUUAUGAAGUGUGUUCUACAUAUUUUUUUAAUAAAUAGUAGAUCUUUCCAACAUUAUUAUAUGAAAUAUAAAUAAGCCUUAUUUCUUCAGACUAUCAUUGAUGAUUUUUUUGUUUUGUUUUGUUUUGUUUGGAACCAGGGAUUGAACUUGGGGGCACUCAACCACUGAGCCACAUCCCCAGCCCUAUUUUGUAUUUUAUCUAGAGACAGGGUCUCGCUGAGUUGCUUAGCCCCCUUGCUUUUGCAGAGGCUAGCUUUGAACUCGUGAUCCUCCUGCCUCAACCUCCCGAGCUGCAGGGAUUACAGGCGUAUGCCAUCACACCUGGCUACACUGAUGAUAUCUUAACAUUAGUUAACAUCUUUAAUCCAUAGCCUAAAAGGUGUAGUAUUCAUUGUUAAGCACACAAAUGAAAACCAAUGUCUCCAUACAAUUUCAUCUGAGCGUCUCUCAGCCUAAGGGAUACAGAGAUAAGUAAUCAUCCCAUGUGAUUACAGCAACAAGAAAAGAAGACCUCGGAGGGUCAAAUGGAAAUUGCUUUCGUGACAUGCUUUUAACAUGACUACAAUUAAAGAGAGCUUUUUCUCAGAGUUCUCCAGUGAAUAAGUCCCUUGCUAAUACCAUCUCUGAUAAGUGUCAAGAAAUGUGUAAUUGUGAGCCGGAAAAGAAUGAGGACACCACUGUCUUCCUAAAAAAGAUCUAAUUGAAACCCUAAGGAAUGUGAAUUAUGUAGAACAUGCUGGCCACAAUCUCAGCCAUUUUUGUCUUUUUAUUGAAAGGGCUAUUAUGUUCUUAUUUCUAAGAAAUUACAAGUGUGGAGUUUUUUAUUUUUUAAGAGAUGAAAAUAUGAUAGAUACCGAAUGUUAAAUAAAAGAAUGGCCUAUUUAAAAUGGGUGCUUUAAAGCUGUUACAUUAAUCCUUCAUUGAUUAUUGAUGACCAAAAUCUGCAUCAGGACCCAUCAUAAGACACUCUAGUAUGUUAAGUGAGAAGUUCAUUGAUAAUUCCUAAGUUUGAGACUGCAGUUUAGAGGCAUGAGCAGGUGAGGGGGCUGUUGGAAUUAGAAUUGCACAAAGUGGACAACCUCAGGCACAAAGGAGCAGUACUGCCUGGGGCCAGAACUGGGACUGAUUCACUCAGUGCCAGAAACCGAGGAGAUGGAUGUAAGUUAUCUAAGUUAUCAAGGAAAGAUUUAAUUAUGGUCACUAUCCUCUGCUUAAGAAGCCAAAGAUAAUGCACAGGUAUUCUUUCAUAAAUAGUACUGAAUUCUUCAAAGAUUUUUAGCAAGUAAAUAAUGAACGUAUGAACAUGACUCAACCGUUUAUUAAAAACAAAAUACUCUAAGCCCUCCACUAGGAGUCAUGCUGGCAUCGCCCCAGAACCAUCUAUUUUUCCAUGUAAUUUUUUCCUAAACCCCAGAGCUGUUAGAAUAAUAAAACAAAAUCAUAGUGUGUUCUCUGAAUAAAAGCUUCUAUAUUUAAGUACCCAUGGGUGGAAAUAUUCCAGUGGUGUUAUGUAUUGAAAAUUGCUAUUUUUAUGUACUCUUGGUAUUUAAAAUGCAAAGAUGUGAGCUCCGAAGAAAUGCAUACGAAGCAAAUUAAACAGGCCAAAAGAGGGAAUAGGAAUGUAAAGAUUGGUAUUAUUAUAGAAGAACUAGUGGGUUUCCAAAAUGUUUUAGGAAUUGGAAAGAAAUUUACCAGCUUCUAAUUCAUUCUACCAAGGACACCAUUUUUCCCCUUCCAUCUUACCCCAAGCCACCUUAUCCUUUUUAACCAACCACUUUAUUAUAAGCAGGAAUAAUAUGGAAAUCUAAGAGAGGACUAUCUAGGGAGAUUUGUUUUUGUAACUGAUGUUAAUUCUAAAAAUAGAAUUAAUUAAUCUUAUGUUCAAAAAAUGACUGGGCGUUUAUUUAGACAGUCGUGCAAAAUACAUUGUAUAGCUUACCAGUAAAAGUGAUGACUUGUUGUCCAGAAUAUUGUUUGGAAUGAGAGCUGACAAGUUGUGUUGUCUGGCCAGUGUUCUUCAGCUAGACAGUGGUUAAGCUGGGACUUGAACCUAGAACUAGGUAAUCCUGCUUUGUUGUUGUUUCCCCUUGGUUUGGUUUGGUUUGGCUUUGUAGUACUGGGGGUUGAACUAGGGCCUCGUACAUACAGGUGCUCCACCAGUGAGCUAUAUCCUUGGCCCUUUUUCCUGGGUUUCUUUUCUCUCCAGCAAUAUGUGUGUCCUGGAAUCAUUGGGGUUUCUUCUUGCUUUAUUUUCAAAGCUCUAGAGUGCUACCACAGAAUUUUGUGUUCUGGAUCAUAUUAGCAGAAUGCUGAGUUUUUGUUACUGUAUAUGAAUAGACCUUAGUCAGAUUUUGUGAAUUGUCCAAAUACAAAAUAACAAAAGGGAAAAAAUCUUUUCCCCCAGGAUCCAUUCCAGGAUCUCACGUUGCCUUCAGUUGUCAUGAGAUCUUAGUCUCUGUUGUCUAAAGCAGUUCCUUAGGCUUCAUGUUGUGUUAUUACCUUGAUGUUCUGAAGAACUCAGGCUAAUUAUGUUGUUGAGCCUCUCAAGGUGUGUUUGUCUGAUGCUUCUCAAGAUUAGAUUCAGGUUGUGAAUGUGGCAGGAGUACAACAAGCAGUGCUGUCCUCUCAGUUUAUCACCUCAGGAGAUGCCUGAUGUCUCUAGCUCCUAACUACUGAGGUGCACUUUGAUCACUUGGAGAGGGUGCUAUCUGCCAGGAGUCUUUACUUUAAAGUUAAUAUUUUGCCCUAUUUUUAAGGAGGCAUUUUCAUAUUAUGUAAAUAUUGUUUCUCAUCAAACUCUCACCUGCUGGUUUUAGCAUCUUCUAAUGAUUCUUUUCUGAGGCAGUUAUUACUAUGGUAGUUGCCAAAUGGUGGUUUUCCUGUCAUUCCUUCCAAGUCACUCUUCUACAGUAGUGUUAGUCUUCUGUUAUAGGUAGCUCUUGUCUGGAUGAAUCUUAGGUUGUAAUUCUAUGGAUUAUAACCCUUUAUCAAGGUUUAAAGCUUAAUUGUCCCAUAUUUGGCCACGGGGGGAGGCCCUUUAAUCUUGCUUCUACAUCUUUUAAUAUGUUUCCAACAUUCUUUUAGCACUUCCUUAAUUUAUGGCAGGAGAUAAUCCAGGCGCAUCUUGUGCUUUCCAGCCCUGGCUUCCAUGGAGCCCAAAUUCUUUUUGGUGGAGAUGAUAUUUAGAAAUCAGAAUUUGGAACUGCGUGUCACUGUUUCUAGGCCCUGUCGGUGGAAUAGCUGGACAUACCUGUGUAUGUGUUGUGUAUGUAUGUAGUGUUAUGGUUUAAAUCUGGAUUCUCCCCCAAAGGCUCAUGUGUUGAAUGCUUUGUCCCUUGCUGGUGGUAUCAUUGGGUGGAAACCUUGGGAGAUGGGGUGUGUUUGGAAGAGGUGGGUCACUUGGGGCACACCUUUGAAGGGUAUGCUUUGUCCCUGGACCCUUCUGUCUCACUGCUUCCUGGAUGCCCUGAGGUGAACACUUCUGAUCCACUGUGUACUCUCCACCAUGAUGUUCUGCCUCACCAAAGUGACCAUGGACUGGAACCUCUGAAACUAUGAGCCAAAAUAAAUCUUUCUUCCUCUGCGGUUGAUUUUCUCAGGUAUUCCUUUACAGUGACAAACAGCUGACUAACACCUAUGGAUAUGUACAUUUCUGUAUCCACCCAGAUUUCUUUGAAACCUUUAGGUAUCCUACUGGUGGCUCCAAAUCCACCUCACCCCUCAGGAUUCAUGAUUUAUUCUAGCAUUCCAUUUUUCCAUAUUUGUAACUCUUCCCCAACUGUGAGAAACUUGGUUCCCAUUCUCCACAAUGUAUUUAUAUGCUCAAUCCUACAGUAUCCAUAGGACUUUCAAAAUCAAAAUGUGAAAAACAAGCCCAGUGGCUAGCAUUUAGUGUUUUGUUUACAGAUCCUUUUGUUUUUAGCUUGAGGAUAAAUCAAAGCACUGUUUAAAAGUUAUCUCUCCCAUCUGUGUGGUGGCACCUGUAAUGCCUGUAAUCCCAGUGGUUCGGGAAAAUGACGUAGGAGGAUCACAAGCUCAAGACCUGUCUCAAAAAUUUAAAAAUGAAAGGAGCUGAAGAUAUGGCUCAGUGGUUAGGCACGCUGGGUUCAGUCACUGGUAUCAAAAUAAUAAUAAUAAUAAUUCCUCUCUCCUUUCUGGUGUGGUUAUUAUUUGAAAAUUUGGAGCAUUUUAAUUCCAUGUUAGGGGUUCCUUCCCGUUGUUAACUGAUUUUGCUUGUUUUGUGUGAGGGUCUUGUUACUCUUGUUAUUUUGAGUAUAUAAGACAUUAACAUUGCUCAAAAGUCAAAACUUACAAAAAGCCAGCUCCCCUUUCUUUUUUUUUUUAUGCCAUCGUCACUUCCCCAUCUGCUGCACGCAGCUUGUGGGUGACUAGUCUCAUUAUUUUCUGAUUCCUCCUUCCUGUGUUUCAUUUUGUACAAGUGAACAAACACGUGUCUAUCUUUUCUUUCUCUUUCUUACAACAAAGAAUGCACGGGUCUCUGUGUUUGUUUUGCUUUUGCACCUUGCUUUAUUCACUUAAUAAUAUAUUCUGAACAGAUACCAUGAUGAUUAUAGAAUCUGCCUCAUUUAAAAACAGCUGCAACUGUAUCUAUUGUGUGGAUGUACCAUAGUUUAUUCAGCUACUUUCCUAUGUUUGGGCAUUCAGGUCUCCGGUAUUUUAUCAUUAUUAAUAACAUUACAAUGACUAACCUUAUGUAAGAGUAUUUUUGUAUUGUGAGAGGUAUGUGUUUUGGGUUAAUUUAGGGGCAGUUGCAUUUGUGGCUUUGUUAGACACAUAAGCAAAUUCCCUGUACAGAGUAUAACAGUGUGCAUUUCUGUCAGAGUUGAUGAGGGUGUCUUACUUCUUUCCCACAGCCUUACUAACUGAAUACGGCAUUAGACUUUUUAGUUGUUCCCAAUCUAAUAUAUGAGGAAUGGUAUCAUGGUGAUUAAUUUGUAUUUCUUCUGAGUGAAGCUGCACAUCAUUUCAUAUGGUUAAGAGUCGUUAUUAUUUCUUUAAUUUUGGAGAAUUAUCUGUCCCUAUCUUUUGCCUAUUUGAUCUUUUAUCCCCUCAGUUCUUAAGAGCUCUUUAUAAGUUAUUAGUUAUUUUUCUGUGAUGUUAUAUGUAUUUUCUCUGAAUAUUUUCAGUUGGUUUUGACGGUAUCCUUUUUUGAUAUUUUCUGUGAUAGUAGAGUUUCAGUUCUGUCUGCUGUUUUUAACAAAUAAGAUUCAAUGUGUACAUUCCUAUCCAAAUAUUUCUCUUAAUCCAUGUUGAAGAAACAGACUCUUCAAAGAUAGAAAUCCUUGCCAGGUGCAGUGGCACAUGCCUGUAAUCACAGGGGCUCAAGAGGCUGAGGAAGGAGGAUUGCAAGUUCCAGACCAGACUUGGCAACUUGAGCAAGACCCUGGGUCAAAAUAAAAAAUAAAAAGGGCUGGGCAUAUGGCUCAGUGGUAAAGUGCCCCUGGGUUCCAUCCCCAGUACACCAAAAAAAGAUAAGAGAUCCUUAUUAAAUAUCAAGUAUUUUUCCCUCUCCAAUACGAACAGUAUUUCCCAAUUUUUCUGAGAAUCUGAUGCAAGGUGUGGCCCUUCCCCAGAAAGAAGCACAUAUACACACACAGCACAACAUGGCUGUGGCAUCUGCUUCGACCAAAACAAUCAGUGAAGCUCUACUUUCUUUGACUUACUCAUUCUCUAUUUUCCACCCACUUUCAGAAACGUGAGCAUCUCUGAUGCUGAGCAGUGUCCUUUUACAUUAGCUUACCUCCUUGCCAUACAUGUGUUGUGCUUUGUUGUAUGAUUUUCCUAUUUGUGGUUGUUUUCGGUUAGAUUGCCACAGAUCCCAACAGUUCUUAACCUAGUUAAGGGAACAGGACUCUGAGGAGGUCUUUGUGCUACAGGAGUUGAAAUGUGAACACAAACGUUGACCCUUCACUGUGUGUGAGGUAGAAGCUGCCCGCUAACGAGGAGCUCAUGGCUGUUUGGGCAGAUGUGAGUGGGGAGGGGACAUGGCAGGCAGACUUCAUGGCUUUAUGCCGACUUGGGGCAUGUUCCUUGACCUCUUUGAGCUUCUGUUGUUCUGUCUGUUGGAAGCAGUAUUACAAAAGGAUUUAAAAAAAAAAAUGGUAUCUGAGGCCAGAUGCUUGGAUUCAGAUUCCAGCAUGUCUUUGAAUGUAACUCCUGUUCCCUUGGCAUCUCAGUUCCUCAGACCUCACAGUGACUUCCUGUGCAGUGAAUCUUAGAAUGGUGUCUGGUACAGAGCGAGUGAUCAGAAUUUGUCAGUUUUUCUCAUCAUCAGCCACAUAAUAGUAUUUAUGGGAUGUUGUGAGCUUUAACCAAGAUGAUACAAGGUGCUAACAAUAUGUGCUCCGUGAUUGUUAAUCUAUUAACAAUAACAUUAGAAGUAGAAGACCUCUUUAAAAAAUCUUCCAUUUUUUCAGUUUUUAUUUCUGCCCAGUUCAGCAUAUCCCAAGCUGCCCAAAUCUUGCCAUGCUCUCAUUCUUUAAGCCAAUUUGAUGGAUAUCUGAGCUUCCUUCAAAGUUUCUAAAUUAUUUCCUAUGUCUCAUAGAGAGUCUUUAAUUAAAACUCAGAGCCCCAGAUAGGUCUAUUGAAAGCAGUUACAAGCUUAUUAUCCAUUCAAAUAAAUGAUCACCUGACCCUUUAUGGUGUGGGCAGUUUAUCCUGCACUUUCAGCUAAGCAUUCUAGUCACAGACUUAACAUUGUCAAAAAACAUUCUCCAGGCUCAGGAAGUUAUAUGAUCUAACUUUAAAAAGCAGAAGUGAGUGGACCCUGCCCAGGCUGCUGGUUCUGGAUCCAGUGGACAGAGGAGGAUGAGGGGUAGAUUAUAAACACAAAUUGAGUUCUAACCAGAUGCCAGGCAAAAUUACUGAGGCUUAGGUGCAACAUCACAUUUACUUCUCAGCACCCAUGUGAGGGGUGCUUUUAAUACCUACAUUUUACAGAGAAAGGAACUGAAACACAGAAAGCUUAAAUAGUAUGCCAUGGUCACAUGGUUGGGGUAAGGGGCAAAAUUCAAACCCUGCUGGCAAACUGCAGAGAGUGCCCCACUGUACCAUGCUGAUGCCUGAGCAAAAUGGGUUCUCAAACACAGAGGUAGGGACUAAAGGUUGGGGAUAGGAUUAUUUAUCACCAGUGAUCAUUACAUGAAGACCUCCAUCUGACUUUCUCAUUGAGAGUCAAUGUAGACAUUUCCUCUCCAGUAAAGCAAAAUGAGCACCCCCUUCCCUCUUUG